UGGGGAAUAUUGGACAAUGGGCGGAAGCCUGAUCCAGCCAUGCCGCGUGUGUGAAGAAGGCCUUUUGGUUGUAAAGCACUUUAAGCGAGGAGGAGGCUACCUGGAUUAAUACUCUGGGAUAGUGGACGUUACUCGCAGAAUAAGCACCGGCUAACUCUGUGCCAGCAGCCGCGGUAAUACAGAGGGUGCGAGCGUUAAUCGGAUUUACUGGGCGUAAAGCGUGCGUAGGCGGCUGAUUAAGUCGGAUGUGAAAUCCCUGAGCUUAACUUAGGAAUUGCAUUCGAUACUGGUCAGCUAGAGUAUGGGAGAGGAUGGUAGAAUUCCAGGUGUAGCGGUGAAAUGCGUAGAGAUCUGGAGGAAUACCGAUGGCGAAGGCAGCCAUCUGGCCUAAUACUGACGC
rnacentral:rRNA from 1 species